UAGCCAGAUGCCCUUUUUUUUUCUGAAUAUUAGAACUCCGCUUUCCCUUGAAUUUUUCCCCCUCCAUUCUCUAAUUUCUGGGAAAAAGAACUCCUGGCCAAUAAGGAAAACAUUACUAACAAAAACCCUCUAUAUGCUUCUUAUGAGGAAAAUAAUCCUAAAAAGAUCUCCUACACACAUUAGGAUUUUUUAUUGUAAAUCGAUUAGAGUUGCAACGUCCAGCAACAUAUAUUCAUUCGUUAGCAGCAGCGACCUUCCAGCAACAUUGAUUGAAUCGAAGAAAUACUUCCAGAAGCUAUAAUUCUAUCGCGGAAACUACGUCCAAGAACAACGAAACUUUCACGUCCGAUAGUCUUUCUCCUCCACUUCUCUAUAUAUAUCAUGUUUUAUUACCCGUGUUGCUCUGUGUUGAGAAUUUAACCCUAUUGUUUCUUUUCUAUUAUGUUCAUUAUAUUUAGGUAUUAACUGGAAGAAAAACAAAAAAUACACUUCAUAACUGUGAUUUUCAAGUUAUUUGAGAUUCCAUAAAGUAUGGGUUUUGUGUUUGUGAUCUUGGGCUGCUACUAUUUUGAAUGCAAUUGAUUAUUGAUUUCUCUGUUGAUAUAUAUUAAGGUGUCUUCCAGAUAUAUUAAGGUGUGUGGUUCCAGCAGUUAUAAUUCAAUCGCAGCAACUACGUCCAAGAACAACGACACUUUCAGGUGAAUCAUAAGAACUACUCCCAGCAGCAUAUAUUGAAUCGAAGAACUACAUCAAGCAACUACAAUUCCAUCGCAGCAACUACGUCCAAGAAAAACGAAACUUUCAGGUAUCUGCCAGUUAUAUUAAGGUGUGUGGUUCCAACAGUUAUAAUUCAAUUGCAGCAACUACGUCCAAAAACAACGAAACUUUCAGGAUUCUUGCCGCCGUAGCAAUCACUGCUAAAUUGGGGUAAAUGCCUUUGUAGCGAGCGAGGCAGAUAGGGAAUUAAGGUUUUUUGGGUUUUUUCAAGACAAGAUCACUGGUUCGCUUUGUGCUGCUGAAAUGACGCAACUACAACGGGAUAGGUAAAGCUUUAGCGGGAUGAUGGGUUAAAAAUUCGCAAAUAAAACCCUUCAACGACCUUAUUAUGUAUUUUACAACAAUUUGAGUUAAUUAAGAGACGACCCCUAGUCUAUUCCGACACUUUUUC